AACGAACGCUGGCGGCAUGCCUAACACAUGCAAGUCGAACGAUUGAAUCAGGGUGGUGGUGGCGUACGGGGGCGUAACGCGUGGGAACAUGUGCUUAACCUCGGACUAACAGCUGGAUACGGACGCUAAUACCGGAAGAUAACGCGAGACCAAAGGUCGAUCGCCUGGGGAUGAGCGCGCGUUAGCUUAGGGAGGUGGUGGGGUCACGGCCUACCAAGCCGACGAUGCAGGGCUGGGCUGCGAGGAAGAUCAGCCGUACCUGGACUGAGACACGGACCAGACCCGGACGGGGGGGAGCAGUGUGGAAUACUGUGGGAGGGGCGCAAGCCGGGUCCAGCAACGCCGCGUGAGAGAGGAAUGCCGUAGGGUUGUAAAGCCCGUAGACCCGGGAAGAAAAUGACGGUACCGGGAGAAGAAGCCCCGGCUAACUCCGUG
rnacentral:rRNA from 1 species